rnacentral:misc_RNA from 1 species
GAUGAAGAACGUAGCGAAAUGCGAUAAGUAAUGUGAAUUGCAGAAUUCAGUGAAUCAUCGAAUCUUUGAACGCACCUUGCGCUCCUUGGCAUUCCGAGGAGCAUGCCUGUUUGAGUGUCAUUAAAUUCUCAAGACCUGUCUGCUUUUUUGAUAGGUAUUGGAUUUUGGGGGUUGCAGGCUGUUUCAAAUAAAUAGCCUUGCUCUCCUUGAAUGUAUUAGUGGAGAAAAGCCAUUGAACUCCAUUGGUGUGAUAAAACCUAUCAAUGCCAGGAGCAAUAUCACUACGUCUCUCUGCUGUCUAACUGUGACUGUCUGUAUUAAUUAGUAUGGAUGGGGACAACUUGACCAACUUGACCUCAAAUCAGGUAGGACUACCCGCUGAACUUAAGCAUAUCAAUAAGCGGAGA